GCCUCCUUAGCUCAGCUGGCAGAGCAACUGACUCUUAAUCAGUGGGUCCACGGUUCGAACCCGUGAGGGGGUACCA
rnacentral:tRNA from 1 species